rnacentral:rRNA from 1 species
UACAGAGGUCUCAAGCGUUGUUCGGAUUUAUUGGGCGUAAAGGGUGCGUAGGUGGCGCCGUAAGUCAGGUGUGAAAUUUCGGAGCUUAACUCCGAAACUGCAUUUGAUACUGCGGUGCUUGAGGACUGGAGAGGAGACUGGAAUUCACGGUGUAGCAGUGAAAUGCGUAGAUAUCGUGAGGAAGACCAGUGGCGAAGGCGGGUCUCUGGACAGUUCCUGACACUGAGGCACGAAGGCCAGGGGAGCAAACGGG